CCUUCCCCUGUGGCUGGACUUACUGGUCUCCAUCCAGAGCAUUAAAGGGCCAGGCUAUUCCACCUUAUGCUCCCUUGAAAGCCCAAUUAUGCCUCUGGUCUGGUAAUGGGGAAGGAUCAUGUGCACCACUAUCCUGAUCAUCACCACUUUCAUACUCCUGCUGCGCCGAUGCUUCUUCAACAAAGUUGAACCGGAAAAUACAGAGGAAAGCAAGCAGGAAAUUGGAACAGGUUCCUCCUCAAGAGAAAGCAGAUGAUAAGCUCCCAUUUCUGCAGGGGGUAAACUGAUCAGAAAUGUCUGGAAGAUAAAUAAUGAUCUGCACCGCAUACUG